rnacentral:rRNA from 1 species
AACGAACGCUGGCGGCAUGCCUAACACAUGCAAGUCGAACGAGACCUUCGGGUCUAGUCGCGCACGGGUGCGUAACGCGUGGGAACCUGCCCUUAGGUUCGGAAGAACUCCCCGAAAGGGGUGCUAAUACCGGAUAUUGUCUUCCGACCAAAGAUUUAUCGCCUUUGGAUGGGCCUGCGUUGGAUGAGCUAGAUGGUAGGGUAAAAGCCUACCAAGGCGACGAGCCAUAGCUGGUCUGAGAGGAGGAUCAGCCACACUGGAACUGAGACACGGUCCAGACUCCGACGGGAGGCAGCAGUGGGGAAUAGUGGACAAGGGGCGAAAGCCUGAGCCAGCCAAGCCGCGUGGGUGAAGAAGGGCUUCGGAUGGGAAAGCACUGUAAGGCGGGAGGAAGGACAGUAAGUUAAUACCUGGCGGGGUCGACGGGACCAACAGAAUAAGCACCGGCUAACUUCGUG